rnacentral:rRNA from 1 species
UACGUAGGCCGCAAGCGUUGUUCGGAGUUACUGGGCGUAAAGGGUGUGUAGGCGGUCCUCUAAGUUUGGUGUGAAAUCUCCCGGCUCAACUUGGAGGGUGCGACGAAAACUGGAGGGCUAGAGUACUGGAUGGGAGAGUGGAAUUCCUGGUGUAGCGGUGAAAUGCGUAGAUAUCAGGAGGAACACCUGUGGUGUAGACGGCUCUCUGGACAGUAACUGACGCUGAGACACGAAAGCGUGGGUAGCAAACAGG